rnacentral:rRNA from 1 species
GAUGAACGCUGGCGGCGUGCCUAAUACAUGCAAGUCGAGCGAACGGACGAGAAGCUUGCUUCUCUGAUGUUAGCGGCGGACGGGUGAGUAACACGUGGAUAACCUACCUAUAAGACUGGGAUAACUUCGGGAAACCGGAGCUAAUACCGGAUAAUAUUUUGAACCGCAUGGUUCAAAAGUGAAAGACGGUCUUGCUGUCACUUAUAGAUGGAUCCGCGCUGCAUUAGCUAGUUGGUAAGGUAACGGCUUACCAAGGCAACGAUGCAUAGCCGACCUGAGAGGGUGAUCGGCCACACUGGAACUGAGACACGGUCCAGACUCCUACGGGAGGCAGCAGUAGGGAAUCUUCCGCAAUGGGCGAAAGCCUGACGGAGCAACGCCGCGUGAGUGAUGAAGGUCUUCGGAUCGUAAAACUCUGUUAUUAGGGAAGAACAUAUGUGUAAGUAACUGUGCACAUCUUGACGGUACCUAAUCAGAAAGCCACGGCUAACUACGUGCCAGCAGCCGCGGUAAUACGUAGGUGGCAAGCGUUAUCCGGAAUUAUUGGGCGCAAAGCGCGCGUAGGCGGUUUUUUAAGUCUGAUGUGAAAGCCCACGGCUCAACCGUGGAGGGUCAUUGGAAACUGGAAAACUUGAGUGCAGAAGAGGAAAGUGGAAUUCCAUGUGUAGCGGUGAAAUGCGCAGAGAUAUGGAGGAACACCAGUGGCGAAGGCGACUUUCUGGUCUGUAACUGACGCUGAUGUGCGAAAGCGUGGGGAUCAAACAGGAUUAGAUACCCUGGUAGUCCACGCCGUAAACGAUGAGUGCUAAGUGUUAGGGGGUUUCCGCCCCUUAGUGCUGCAGCUAACGCAUUAAGCACUCCGCCUGGGGAGUACGACCGCAAGGUUGAAACUCAAAGGAAUUGACGGGGACCCGCACAAGCGGUGGAGCAUGUGGUUUAAUUCGAAGCAACGCGAAGAACCUUACCAAAUCUUGACAUCCUUUGACAACUCUAGAGAUAGAGCUUUCCCCUUCGGGGGACAAAGUGACAGGUGGUGCAUGGUUGUCGUCAGCUCGUGUCGUGAGAUGUUGGGUUAAGUCCCGCAACGAGCGCAACCCUUAAGCUUAGUUGCCAUCAUUAAGUUGGGCACUCUAAGUUGACUGCCGGUGACAAACCGGAGGAAGGUGGGGAUGACGUCAAAUCAUCAUGCCCCUUAUGAUUUGGGCUACACACGUGCUACAAUGGACAAUACAAAGGGCAGCGAAACCGUGAGGUCAAGCAAAUCCCAUAAAGUUGUUCUCAGUUCGGAUUGUAGUCUGCAACUCGACUACAUGAAGCUGGAAUCGCUAGUAAUCGUAGAUCAGCAUGCUACGGUGAAUACGUUCCCGGGUCU